rnacentral:rRNA from 2 species
UGGGGAAUAUUGCACAAUGGGCGCAAGCCUGAUGCAGCCAUGCCGCGUGUAUGAAGAAGGCCUUCGGGUUGUAAAGUACUUUCAGCGGGGAGGAAGGGAGUAAAGUUAAUACCUUUGCUCAUUGACGUUACCCGCAGAAGAAGCACCGGCUAACUCCGUGCCAGCAGCCGCGGUAAUACGGAGGGUGCAAGCGUUAAUCGGAAUUACUGGGCGUAAAGCGCACGCAGGCGGUUUGUUAAGUCAGAUGUGAAAUCCCCGGGCUCAACCUGGGAACUGCAUCUGAUACUGACAAGCUUGAGUCUCGUAGAGGGGGGUAGAAUUCCAGGUGUAGCGGUGAAAUGCGUAGAGAUCUGGAGGAAUACCGGUGGCGAAGGCGGCCCCCUGGACGAAGACUGACGCUCAGGUGCGAAAGCGUGGGGAGCAAACAGG